rnacentral:rRNA from 1 species
UAGGGAAUCUUCCACAAUGGACGAAAGUCUGAUGGAGCAACGCCGCGUGUGUGAUGAAGGGUUUCGGCUCGUAAAACACUGUUGUAAGAGAAGAAUGACAUUGAGAGUAACUGUUCAAUGUGUGACGGUAUCUUACCAGAAAGGAACGGCUAAAUACGUGCCUG